rnacentral:rRNA from 1 species
GGUAUAGACCCGAAACCCGGUGAUCUAGCCAUGGGCAGGUUGAAGGUUGGGUAACACUAACUGGAGGACCGAACCGACUAAUGUUGAAAAAUUAGCGGAUGACCUGUGGCUGGGGGUGAAAGGCCAAUCAAACCGGGAGAUAGCUGGUUCUCCCCGAAAGCUAUUUAGGUAGCGCCUCGUGAAUUCAUCUCCGGGGGUAGAGCACUGUUUCGGCUAGGGGGCCAUCCCGGCUUACCAACCCGAUGCAAACUGCGAAUACCGGAGAAUGUUAUCACGGGAGACACACGGCGGGUGCUAACGUCCGUCGUGAAGAGGGAAACAACCCAGACCGCCAGCUAAGGUCCCAAAGUCAUGGUUAAGUGGGAAACGAUGUGGGAAGGCCCAGACAGCCAGGAUGUUGGCUUAGAAGCAGCCAUCAUUUAAAGAAAGCGUAAUAGCUCACUGGUCGAGUCGGCCUGCGCGGAAGAUGUAACGGGGCUAAACCAUGCACCGAAGCUGCGGCAGCGAACGUAUCACCCAAGACAACUUUACGGAGUUGACGAUUGACGGAGCGAAGCGACGUCAAAGCGUUCAUUAAAGUCGAGUUGGCUUAGGGAUACGUUCGUUGGGUAGGGGAGCGUUCUGUAAGCCUGUGAAGGUGUGUCGUGAGGCAUGCUGGAGGUAUCAGAAGUGCGAAUGCUGACAUAAGUAACGAUAAAGCGGGUGAAAAGCCCGCUCGCCGGAAGACCAAGGGUUCCUGUCCAACGUUAAUCGGGGCAGGGUGAGUCGACCCCUAAGGCGAGGCCGAAAGGCGUAGUCGAUGGGAAACGGGUUAAUAUUCCCGUACUUGGUGUUACUGCGAAGGGGGGACGGAGAAGGCUAUGUUGGCCGGGCGACGGUUGUCCCGGUUUAAGCGUGUAGGUGUGUGUUCCAGGUAAAUCCGGUUCACUUUAACACUGAGGCGUGACGACGAGGCACUACGGUGCUGAAGCAACAAAUGCCCUGCUUCCAGGAAAAGCCUCUAAGCAUCAGGUAACACGAAAUCGUACCCCAAACCGACACAGGUGGUCAGGUAGAGAAUACCAAGGCGCUUGAGAGAACUCGGGUGAAGGAACUAGGCAAAAUGGUGCCGUAACUUCGGGAG